rnacentral:rRNA from 1 species
GUUCCUUAGAUCGUACCUACUACAUGGAUAACUGUAGUAAUUCUAGAGCUAAUACAUGCCACUAUGCCCUGACCCGCAAGGGGACGGGUGGAUUUAUUAGAACAGAACCAACCGGUUGUGGCUUCGGUCGCUUCCGUUGUACUCUGUGAUGACUCUGGAUAACUUCACUGAUCGCAGUCGGCCUUGUGUCGGCGACGGAUCUUUCAAAUGUCUGCCCUAUCAAUUUUCGAUGGUAGGUGACCUGCCUACCAUGGUGAUAACGGGUAACGGGGAAUCAGGGUUCGAUUCCGGAGAGGGAGCCUGAGAAACGGCUACCACUUCCAAGGAAGGCAGCAGGCACGCAAAUUACCCAAUCCCGGAACGGGGAGGUAGUGACGAAAAAUACGGAUACGGGACUCGUAUGAGGCUCCGUAAUUCGAAUGAGUACAAUUUAAAUCCUUUAACGAGGAUCAACUGGAGGGCAAGUCUGGUGCCAGCAGCCGCGGUAACUCCAGCUCCAGAAGCGUAUAUUAAAGUUGUUGCAGUUAAAAAGCUCGUAGUUGGAUCUGGGUCGUAUGGCUACGUGCCGUCGCCCGUAAUCGAAGCUUGGUUCCGACUAGGUCAAGUUUGCGGGUCGGUUUCGUGGCUGUGCAGCCUUUCUGCCGUGUCUGUUUCGACAGGUGCCGGCCUAAUCGAUGGGCUUGUCUCGUUGGUUGGUUGGCAUGCUUCCAGAUGCCUUUGAACGGGUGUCGGGGGCGGACGGUACGUUUACUUUGAACAAAUUUGAGUGCUCAAAGCAGGCCUGUGCCUGAAAAUUCUUGCAUGGAAUAAUGGAAUAGGACUUCGGUUCUAUUUUGUUGGUUUUCGGAUCCGAAGUAAUGGUUAAGAGGGACAGACGGGGGCAUUUGUAUGGCGGUGUUAGAGGUGAAAUUCUUGGAUCGCCGCCAGACAAACUACAGCGAAAGCAUUUGCCAAGGAUGUUUUCAUUGAUCUGGAGCGAAAGUCAGAGGUUCGAAGACGAUCAGAUACCGUCCUAGUUCUGACCAUAAACGAUGCCAACUGACGAUCCGUGGGUGAUCUUUUAAUGACCCUGCGGGCAGUCCCCGGGAAACCUUUAAGUCUUUGGGCUCCGGGGGAAGUAUGGUUGCAAAGCUGAAACUUAAAGGAAUUGACGGAAGGGCACCACCAGGAGUGGAGCCUGCGGCUUAAUUCGACUCAACACGGGAAAACUCACCCGGCCCGGACACUGUGAGGAUUGACAGAUUGAUAGCUCUUUCUUGAUUCGGUGGUUGGUGGUGCAUGGCCGUUCUUAGUUGGUGGAGCGAUUUGUCUGGUUAAUUCCGAUAACGAACGAGACUUUGGCCUGCUAAAUAGUAUACCUGUCCUCUGUGCUCGUGCAGGUGGCGGUUCUCUCUGCCCUUUCGGGGGUGGGUGAGGCUGUUUACCGGCGGGUACUGCGCAGGCAUUUACUUCUUAGAGGGACAAGCGACGCGAAAGUCGCACGAAAAUGAGCAAUAACAGGUCUGUGAUGCCCUUAGAUGUCCGGGGCCGCACGUGCGCUACAAUGACGGUUUCAGCGAGUUUUGAAUCCUGGCCCGAAAGGGUUGGGCAAACUGAAUCAUCACCGUCGUGACUGGGAUCGGGGCUUGCAAUUAUUCCCCGUGAACGAGGAAUUCCUGGUAAGUGCAAGUCAUAAGCUUGCGCUGAUUACGUCCCUGCCCUUUGUACACACCGCCCGUCGCUACUACCGAUUGAAUGGUUUAGCAAGGUCAU